AAGCAGGGGAUCGCAAGACCUUGCGCUUUUGGAGCGGCCGAUGCCUGAUUAGCUAGUUGGUAGGGUAAUGGCUUACCAAGGCGACGAUCAGUAGUUGGUCUGAGAGGACGACCAGCCACACUGGGACUGAGACACGGCCCAGACUCCUACGGGAGGCAGCAGUGGGGAAUUUUGGACAAUGGGCGAAAGCCUGAUCCAGCAAUGCCGCGUGAGUGAAGAAGGCCUUCGGGUUGUAAAGCUCUUUCAGUCGAGAAGAAAAGGUUGUGACUAAUAAUCACAACUCAUGACGGUAUCGACAGAAGAAGCACCGGCUAACUACGUGCCAGCAGCCGCGGUAAUACGUAGGGUGCGAGCGUUAAUCGGAAUUACUGGGCGUAAAGGGUGCGCAGGCGGCUUUGUAAGUCAGAUGUGAAAUCCCCGGGCUUAACCUGGGAAUUGCGUUUGAAACUACAAAGCUAGAGU
rnacentral:rRNA from 1 species